AGUUUGUCUUUAAGUGAGCUGAAUGUGCCUUCAUUUUGUGAUGAUAAUGUACAACUUGAGAUUGUGGAUACACUAGUUGAUUCACCUAGUGUUGAAGCCAUUGUGGAAAGUGGUAGUACAUUGUCUUAUGGAAGUCAUGAAGACCAACUUGUGUGUGAAAAUGAUGAUGUUGAACAUGUUGGCUAAAUGACUAAGGAUGACC
rnacentral:lncRNA from 1 species